GGAGGGUGCAAGCGUUAAUCGGAAUUACUGGGCGUAAAGCGCACGCAGGCGGUUGAUUGAGUCAGAUGUGAAAUCCCCGGGCUUAACCCGGGAAUUGCAUCUGAUACUGGUCAGCUAGAGUCUUGUAGAGGGGGGUAGAAUUCCAUGUGUAGCGGUGAAAUGCGUAGAGAUGUGGAGGAAUACCGGUGGCGAAGGCGGCCCCCUGGACAAAGACUGACGCUCAGGUGCGAAAGCGUGGGGAGCAAACAGGAUUAGAUACCCUGGUAGUCCACGCUGUAAACGAUGUCGACUUGGAGGUUGUGCCCUUGAGGCGUGGCUUCCGGAGCUAACGCGUUAAGUCGACCGCCUGGGGAGUACGGCCGCAAGGUUA
rnacentral:rRNA from 1 species